UACGUAGGGUGCGAGCGUUGUCCGGAAUUAUUGGGCGUAAAGGGCUCGUAGGCGGUUUGUCGCGUCGGGAGUGAAAACCCAGGGCUUAACUCUGGGCUUGCUUUCGAUACGGGCAGACUAGAGGUAUGCAGGGGGAGAACGGAAUUCCUGGUGUAGUGGUGAAAUGCGCAGAUAUCAGGAGGAACACCGGUGGCGAAGGCGGAUUCUCGU
rnacentral:rRNA from 1 species